GACGAACGCUGGCGGCGUGCUUAACACAUGCAAGUCGAACGGAAAGGCCCUGCUUUUGUGGGGUGCUCGAGUGGCGAACGGGUGAGUAACACGUGAGUAACCUGCCCUUGACUUUGGGAUAACUUCAGGAAACUGGGGCUAAUACCGGAUAGGAGCUCCUGCUGCAUGGUGGGGGUUGGAAAGUUUCGGCGGUUGGGGAUGGACUCGCGGCUUAUCAGCUUGUUGGUGGGGUAGUGGCUUGCCAAGGCUUUGACGGGUAGCCGGCCUGAGAGGGUGACCGGCCACAUUGGGACUGAGAUACGGCCCAGACUCCUACGGGAGGCAGCAGUGGGGAAUAUUGCACAAUGGGCGGAAGCCUGAUGCAGCAAUGCCGCGUGCGGGAUGACGGCCUUCGGGUUGUAAACCGCUUUCGCCUGUGACGAAGCGUGAGUGACGGUAAUGGGUAAAGAAGCACCGGCUAACUACGUG
rnacentral:rRNA from 1 species